GUGGGGAAUAUUGGACAAUGGGCGAAAGCCUGAUCCAGCCAUGCCGCGUGUGUGAAGAAGGUCUUCGGAUUGUAAAGCACUUUAAGUUGGGAGGAAGGGCAGUAAGUUAAUACCUUGCUGUUUUGACGUUACCGACAGAAUAAGCACCGGCUAACUUCGUGCCAGCAGCCGCGGUAAUACGAAGGGUGCAAGCGUUAAUCGGAAUUACUGGGCGUAAAGCGCGCGUAGGUGGUUCAGCAAGUUGGAGGUGAAAUCCCCGGGCUCAACCUGGGAACUGCCUCCAAAACUACUGGGCUAGAGUACGGUAGAGGGUAGUGGAAUUUCCUGUGUAGCGGUGAAAUGCGUAGAUAUAGGAAGGAACACCAGUGGCGAAGGCGACUACCUGGACUGAUACUGACACUGAGGUGCGAAAGCGUGGGGAGCAAACAGGAUUAGAAACCCUAGUAGUCC
rnacentral:rRNA from 1 species